rnacentral:rRNA from 1 species
GACGGAGGGUGCUAGCGUUGUUCGGAAUUACUGGGCGUAAAGGGCGCGUAGGCGGCUGCUCAAGUCGGGUGUGAAAGCCCGGGGCUCAACCCCGGAACGGCACCCGAGACUGGGCGGCUCGAGACCGGGAGAGGUGGGUGGAAUACCCAGUGUAGAGGUGAAAUUCGUAGAUAUUGGGUGGAACACCGGUGGCGAAAGCGGCUCACUGGCCCGGUUCUGACGCUGAGGCGCGAAAGCGUGGGGAGCAAACCGG